rnacentral:rRNA from 1 species
AGGACGAACGCUGGCGGCGUGCUUAACACAUGCAAGUCGAGCGAGGCCCUUCCUUCGGGAAGGUGCCCUAGCGGCGAACGGGUGAGUAACACGUGAGCAACCUGCCCCUGGCUCUGGGAUAGCCUCCGGAAACGGGGAUUAAUACCGGACAUUCACUGCCUGCCGCAUGGUGGGUGGUGGAAAGUUUUUCGGCCAGGGAGGGGCUCGCGGUCUAUCAGCUUGUUGGCGGGGUAACGGCCCACCAAGGCGACGACGGAUA